rnacentral:ncRNA from 2 species
AGCAGCCGCGGUAAUUCCAGCUCCAAUAGCGUAUAUUAAAGUUGUUGCAGUUAAAAAGCUCGUAGUUGAAUUUCGGGAUUGACGUGAUGGUCAUGCCUUAAGGGGUAUGAACUGUUACUGUUGAUUUCUCACCUUCUGGAGAAACUUGAUGUCCUUUAUUGGGUGUCUUGCGGAUCCAGGACCUUUACCUUGAAAAAAUUAGAGUGUUUAAAGCAGGCAUUUUUGCUCGAAUACAUUAGCAUGGAAUAAUAGAAUAGGACGGCAUGGUUCUAUUUUGUUGGUUUCUAGGAUCACCGUAAUGAUUAAUAGGGAUAGUUGGGGGCAUUAGUAUUCAAUUGUCAGAGGUGAAAUUCUUGGAUUUAUUGAAGACUAACUACUGCGAAAGCAUUUGCCAAGGAUGUUUUCAUUAAUCAAGAACGAAAGUUAGGGGAUCGAAGACGAUCAGAUACCGUCGUAGUCUUAACCAUAAACUAUGCCGACUAGGAAUCAGACGAUGUUAAUUUUUUAAUGACUCGUUUGG